UGGGGGAUAUUGCACAAUGGGCGAAAGCCUGAUGCAGCGACGCCGCGUGGGGGAUGAAGGCUUUCGGGUUGUAAACCUCUUUCGCUAUCGAACAAGGCCCGCUUAGGGUGGGUUGAGGGUAGGUGGAGAAGAAGCGCCGGCUAACUACGUGCCAGCAGCCGCGGUAAUACGUAGGGCGCGAGCGUUGUCCGGAAUUAUUUGGGCGUAAAGGGCUUGUAGGCGGCUUGUUGCGCCUGCUGUGAAAACGCGGGGCUUAACUUCGCGCGUGCAGUGGGUACGGGCAGGCUUGAGUGUGGUAGGGGUGACUGGAAUUCCAGGUGUAGCGGUGGAAUGCGCAGAUAUCUGGAGGAACACCGAUGGCGAAGGCAGGUCACUGGGCCAUUACUGACGCUGAGGAGCGAAAGCAUGGGUAGCGAACAGG
rnacentral:rRNA from 1 species